rnacentral:lncRNA from 1 species
GCAGGGAGCUAUCUACUAUUUCAAGAUUGCUGUUGCUUUGGCCGUAGCUGCUAUCCCAGAAGGUCUGCCUGCCGUAAUCACAACCUGUCUCGCUCUUGGUACAAGAAGAAUGGCCAAGAAAAAUGCUAUUGUUAGAAGUUUACCGUCAGUUGAAACCCUGGGUUGUACAUCCGUAAUCUGUUCAGACAAGACUGGUACCCUGACAACCAAUCAGAUGUCAGUCUGCAAGAUGUUUUUCUUCAACAAGAUUGAAGGAUCCAGCUGUGAGACACAGCAGUUUGAAAUCACAGGAUCUACCUACGCUCCGGAAGGUGAUGUGUAAGU